rnacentral:tRNA from 1 species
GCCGGUAUCGCAUAAUGGUAUUGCACUGGAUUGCUAAUCCAGGCCUUUCGGGGCUCCCAGGUUCGAUUCCUGGUGCCGGCG